ensembl:lncRNA
GUGCUGUGGACAGCUUCCGGGAGCUUGCCUGGAGGCCACAGUCAACCUCACGCCUGUCCGGGCCAAUUCAUAGAAGGUGAUUGGAUGAGACGUGGGCACCUGAGCUCCAGACAGCCAAUCCAUAGGCUGACCUGCCCACCUCAGUGUGGUCCAGAUUGAGGAUGGGAGCCAGCUAAUCAAGGUGAUACUUUCUGGAAUUGGAACAGGGGAAACAUGGAGAGGUUGAGCUGGUUAACAGCUGGGCCAGAAGGUGAAAGGGUGCCAUAGGUUGAUGCCUGGGGCCAGCAGAAAUUGUGAGGGAGCAGGUGCCAGAAGUAAAGAGAAAUAAAGCAAUUAGCAGAGAGGAGGAUGGAACAGACACAGAGGGGGAGGAUGUGCCAUGAGGGAGACCUUGCAGCUCAGCGGAGAGACAGAGGAAGACCUUCUGCUUCUGGGGACUGCUUUGGUUCCUGGCAGCCUUUCAGAUGCAGGGUGAAGCCUGAAAAAGAGAACUCUUUCCCUGGGGCACUGGCGGGAUUAUUUUCCCUUGGGACCCGACAAGAGCCUGAAUGAUGGUGGACAUUCCUCUUCCUGUAGGUGGAAGCUGAGGUUCCCAUGGAAGGCUCUUUGUGACGAUGUGAUGAACCAUCCCUCCCAUGCUCCUUAGUGAUAUCACAUCACUGCUUUUCUCAUCAAGAAGUGAUGUCCUCUCUCCUCUCCUGGAAUCCCAGCUUGGAGACGUGCCCUGUUAGGCCAGUGGGCCAUUCGCAAAUGUGAUGCAAGCAGAGGCUUGAAACCCUCCUUUGUGUGAGGUUUGCCCUCUCUCUGUUGUGGUUGGAGUGGAAACGAGGAUGUGAGCGAGCCUGAGCUCAUCUCCUGAAGAGCCCACAUGGAAAACCGAAGCAUCCCAGCCUGAAGAUUGACAACUGCUAGUUGCGUGUGUGAAGACCUCUGAGCCUAUCCAGCCCGAAUCAGACCACCAGAUGACUGCAGCUGUGUGAGAGACCCCAGGCAAUACCACCGGCAGGGUUCCCAAUGAACCCAGCCACAUUGUUGACCAGCAAAAUCAUGAGCCAGGAAAAUGGAAUGCAGAGCUGGGGCCAGCACGGGUGGAUAGUGUUCUCUGGAGCAGGGCUCCUCAAAGUGUGGGCCACAGACUGGCUGCUUGAUACAGUCCAUGACAAGGAACAGCCCUCCGGCUCCUACACCAGGAACAAAGGAGGUGGGAGAUUAGUGUGGGGGAGAGCAGAGGAAGCAGCCUGCGCAUGUCCAGAGGGGAACGAGAUCAGCUCCACUGGGAAUACUCCUUUGGGAAUCGAAUGUCACAGCAUUAUUUGUAAGGAUUUACUCAAGGAAUUAUCCAGUUUAAGUACCAAGUGUAUUCACGAUCUACAGGUGCCUCCCUGUAUGAGCCUUAGCAGGAGGAAAAGCCGGGCAUGUUUCUGACCUCAAGGAGCCAGUGCUGAGUGUUCAGUUGCUCAGUCGUGUCCAAUUCUUUGUGACCCCAUGGACUGUAGCCCAGCAGGCUCCUUGGUCCAUGGGGUUUUCUGGCAAGAAUACUGGAGUGGGUUGCCAUUUCCUCUCCCAGGGGUUCUUCCUGACCCAGGAAUCGAACUGGCGUCUCCUGCAUUGGCAGGUGGAUUCUUUACCACCUGGAAGCCACAGGGAGUCAGCCACGCAUGCUUUCUGCAGUGUACUUAGAGCAGUAAUGUUGUUUGCACUUCCUCGUCCCACCUGCUCCAGGAGGGCAGCCAUUCUGUCCCAGUCACACCGGUACCCCUGGCACCUAGACUUGUACCAGGACACAGUGAGCUCUCAGUGUUUGUGCUGAUGAAUGAGUGAAACACACCUGUUGAAUGAAUGAGAAAACAAAUCAGAAAGGAACGUCAUGGAGACUGGACCCCAAAGAGGAUCUGCGAGCUACCCAAGCCAGGCUCCUAGGACUGGGCCUCGCACCUGUCUACUGACCCUCUGCCCACUGAUCCUUCCAAUACACGAUGGGAGGGCUGCAGAAAGGGCCAAAGGGCCGUUCUGGGAAGAACUGAGAAGACAUCAAGAAAACAACGAUGUGAGGAUUCUGGGAACCUAGCGGUGAUAUUGGCAACAGCAGCGUACACUGUUGUUUUGCUUUUACACCUUUACUGAGAUAUAAUUCAUAUGCCAUAUAGUUCACCCAUUUAAAGUGUACAAUUCAGCAAUUUUCAGUAUGUCCACAAAAUUCUGUAACCAUCACCACAGUCAAUUUUAGAACAUUUUUGUCACCCUCAAUAGAAACACCGUUCCUAUUAGUAUUCAUUCCCCGUUUUCCUCCAAACCACGCUCUUCCUCCCAGUCCUAGGCAACCACUAGGGCUACAUUCUCUCUCUAAAGAUUUCUCUGAUCAGUAUUUGGUCCUUGGUGACUAGCUCUUUGCACUUAGCAUAAUACUUUCAAGAUUCAUCCAUGAUGCAGCAUAUAUCAGUGCUUCCUUGUUUUUUAUUGAUGAAUACAAUAUAUGGGUAUAGCACAUUUAAUUUAUUCAUUUAGCCAUUGAAGGACAUUUGGGUCGUUUCCUUUUUGG